ACCCGCUGAACUUAAGCAUAUCAAUAAGCGGAGGAAAAGAAACCAACAGGGAUUGCUCUAGUAACGGCGAGUGAAGCAGCAAUAGCUCAAAUUUGAAAUCUGGCGUCUUCGACGUCCGAGUUGUAAUUUGUAGAGGAUGCUUCUGAGUGGCCACCGACCUAAGUUCCUUGGAACAGGACGUCAUAGAGGGUGAGAAUCCCGUAUGCGGUCGGAAAGGCGCUCUAUACGUAGCUCCUUCGACGAGUCGAGUUGUUUGGGAAUGCAGCUCUAAAUGGGAGGUAAAUUUCUUCUAAAGCUAAAUAUUGGCCAGAGACCGAUAGCGCACAAGUAGAGUGAUCGAAAGAUGAAAAGCACUUUGGAAAGAGAGUUAAAAAGCACGUGAAAUUGUUAAAAGGGAAGGGAUUGCAACCAGACUUGCUCGCGGUGUUCCGCCGGUCUUCUGACCGGUCUACUCGCCGCGUUGCAGGCCAGCAUCGUCUGGUGCCGCUGGAUAAGACUUGAGGAAUGUAGCUCCCUCGGGAGUGUUAUAGCCUCUUGUGAUGCAGCGAGCGCCGGGCGAGGUCCGCGCUUCGGCUAGGAUGCUGGCGUAAUGGUCGUAAUCCGCCCGUCUUGAAACACGGACCAAGGAGUCUAACAUCUAUGCGAGUGUUCGGGUGUCAAACCCCUACGCGUAAUGAGAGUGAACGGAGGUGAGAACCGCAAGGUGCAUCAUCGACCGAUCCUGAUGUCUUCGGAUGAAUUUGAGUAAGAGCAUAGCUGUUGGGACCCGAAAGAUGGUGAACUAUGCCUGAAUAGGGUGAAGCCAGAGGAAACUCUGGUGGAGGCUCGCAGCGGUUCUGACGUGCAAAUCGAUCGUCAAAUUUGGGUAUAGGGGCGAAAGACUAAUCGAACCAUCUAGUAGCUGGUUCCUGCCGAAGUUUCCCU
rnacentral:rRNA from 1 species